CUCAAGGGCUUGCUGUAUUUGCCGGGUAUCGGAGGUCAGGCGUGUUCGUAACAUUAUAUCGAAAUGUUACAAGAAGAGUAAAAUAACCAGGUAUAAUAGGAUGAAUUCCCAUGACUAGUUUCAAAAACGGUCUGGCUAAUGGGCAGAUAAUUCGCCGAAGCCAAAAUAAAGGACAUAGUGAACAAAACUGAAUACAUAAUUUGUACGACCGUUUUGUCCUACAAAGGCGCGGAUAGUUUGACAGCGACAGGAGUGCACUUCGCAGGCCUGACGUUAGGCAAAUCACUUGCAUCUUAAACUAUCUAUGACAAAUUAAGACUCUUCUCUUCUCGCUCGUCAAAUAAAGACAACUCAAAUAUGAGGAAGGACGUGCGGAUACUACUCGUCGGGGAACCCAAGGUAGGGAAGACGUCGCUGAUUAUGUCCCUGGUCAGCGAGGAGUUUCCUGAUGAGGUUCCCCUUCGAGCCGAGGAGAUAACCAUUCCAGCCGACGUCACGCCGGAGAGGGUCCCCACACACAUAGUGGACUACUCAGAGGCUGAGCAGUCAGAUGAACAGCUCUAUCAAGAAAUAUCAAAGGCAAAUGUUAUCUGCAUAGUGUAUUCCGUCAACAACAAGAAGUCCAUAGAGAAGGUGACGAGCCAUUGGAUUCCCCUCAUAAAUGACAGAACAGACAAGGACAGCAGGGUUCCAUUGAUCCUGGUUGGCAACAAGUCUGACCUGGUGGAACACAGCAGUAUGGAGACCAUCCUGCCCAUCAUGAACCAGUACCAGGACAUCGAGACCUGUGUCGAGUGUUCUGCUAAGAACCUGAAGAACAUCUCUGAGCUAUUCUACUACGCCCAGAAGGCUGUGCUCCACCCUACCGGACCCCUCUACUGUCCAGAGGAGAAGGAGAUGAAGCCUUCCUGUGUAAAGGCCUUAACACGUAUAUUUAAAGUGUCUGACCUGGACAACGACGGCAUCCUCAACGACAAUGAACUCAAUUUCUUUCAGAGGACAUGCUUCAACACACCGCUGGCGCCCCAGGCAUUGGAGGACGUGAAGAACGUUGUUAGGAGGAACAUGACAGAUGGCGUCCAGGACAACGGACUGACACUGAAAGGCUUCCUGUUCCUGCACACACUCUUCAUCCAGAGGGGGCGGCACGAGACCACCUGGACGGUUCUCCGGAGGUUCGGCUAUGACGACGAUUUGGAGCUCACUCAGGAGUACCUGUUCCCCUUGAUAAAGAUCCCCCCAGACUGCACCACCGAGCUGAACCACAACGCUUACCUGUUCCUCCAGAGCGUCUUCGACAAGCACGACAAAGACAGAGACUGUGCCCUGUCGCCAGAAGAGGUUAAGGACCUGUUCAAGGUGUUCCCCUACAUGCCCUGGGGCCCUGAUGUCAACAACACCGUCUGCACCAACGACAAGGGCUGGAUCACCUACCAGGGAUACCUCUCUCAGUGGACGUUAACAACGUACCUGGACGUGCAGCGCAGUCUGGAGUACCUGGGAUACCUGGGCUACUCCAUCAUCUACGAGCAGGAGUCUCAAGCUGCCGCCAUGACAGUGACGCGGAACAAGCGCAUCGACCUGCAGAAGAAGCAGACACAGCGCAGCGUUUUCCGCUGCAACGUGGUUGGGUCGCAGGGGAGCGGCAAGAGCGGCUUCCUGCAGGCCUUCCUGGGCCGCAGUCUGCAGCGACAGAGGACGAUCAGGGAGGACCACAAGUCCCUGUAUGCCAUCAGCACUACGUACGUCUAUGGACAGGAGAAAUACCUUCUGCUGCAUGAGGUGAUGCCAGAGUUUGACUUCCUCGGUCCCGAUGAGGCCGACCUAUCAUGCGACGUUGUCUGCCUGGUGUACGAUGUCAACAAUCCACAGUCAUUUGAAUACUGUGCCAAGGUCUACAAGAAACACUUCAUGGACAGCAAGACGCCCUGCAUGCUGAUUGCAGCCAAGUCGGACCUGCACGAGAUCCGACAGCACUACAGCCUGACCCCGCUUGAGUUCUGCCGCCGACACAAGCUCCACCCGCCCCAGCCCUUCACCUGCAACACCAGUGACGUGCCCAUCAAAGACCUCUACACCAAACUCACCACCAUGGCUAUGUACCCCCACGCCCAUCUCCGCUGCACGUGUGCCAGCAAAAGGUGCGCGUAUUGCCUGUGUCAGAAGCUCUUGACGCUGGGACUCCUGCGCAGUGUUAAGGCUCAGCUCCGCCGGGUGGCGCUCCACAGGUCUUUAUCUACAUAUCUCUGGCUCCCGUUGUUCCUCUUCCUCUUGCACGUCUUCACUCUUUGCUGAUUUAUUUGCCCUAACCCUAAUAACCCUACCCUGCCUUUAUCUGCCCUGAGCUGCUAAUGCCUGCCCUGGUCAAUAAGCACAACAUCCCCCUCUAGUGGUGGCAGGGAACAAUUACUGCAUCUAGCACUGAGUAUCCCAUUCGGUUGUCAUAAUGCCCAUGUGGUUCGCUCCUGUAUGGUUAGUUAAAACCGUAUGGUUUUAAGGGGUCUCUGUUGCACUGCACAUUUGUUGUUAAAAGCAUGUUACAGGGUUUGUGUUGGCUGAAAGAGUGGAAUGGCGUUUUACUGGACCCCAUCAGAGGACUUGGCUAGAUUGCCUGCUUCAAUGUAAUUAGUGUACCCUGGCACUCAGUUUAUGUGCCUAUACUUCCAUGGACUAUAUGGAAUUGAGCAUACCAAAUUAUUAAAGGUAUUUGAGUACAGUACAGGUGAACUUGAAUAUCGUGCAAAAGUUCAUUUAUUUCAGUAAUUCUAGGUGAAACUAAUAUAUUAUAUUGACUCAUUACAUGGAUAGUGAGAUAUUUGAAGCCUUUAUUUGUUAUAAUUUAUAUGAUUAUGGCUUACCGUUUACGAAAACCCCAAAUUCAAAAUCUCCGCAAAAUUUGAAUAAUACAUGCAAUCAAUAAAAAAAAAGGUUGUGAAUUCUACUACUACCUGGCACAUGUACUACAGCGUUUCUACAGCUAGAUGCGUUUAGAUACGAGUCCAUCAUUACGGAAAAUUCCUGCCACAUGCCAAGGAAAACGGGGGGAUGACAAUCUUUCUUUUGAUAGACCAUUUAAAGGCUUAGGAACCCUUUGCCGGUGUUUUGGAUUAAUUAGCUGAUUAGAAUGUGACACUUUGAGCCUACAACAUUAAGCCCUUUCACAAUAUUCUAAUCUGAGAUUUUGAAUUUGGUGUUUUAAUAAGCUGUAAGGUAUAAUCAGCAAAAUGAUAACAAAUAAAGGCUUGAAAUAUCUCAUUUUCCAUGUAUUGAGUAUAUAAUAUAUUAGUUUCACCUUUUUUUAAGUUCAAUUACUGAAAUAAAUUAACUUAUGCACAAUAUUCUAAUCUUUAGAUUUUCAGCUGUAUAUUCCCUGCAACCUGGGCUUGGUUGUUUAUAUCUCAUGCUUAAAAGACCUACCAAGACUUUUGGCUAUCAAGUUGACUUUAAGGACAAACCUUUUUUGCUGUUGUGUAAGAUCCUAUCUGAAAUAGUGAGCAACAGAUAGUAAUACGUUUGUUUUGUUGAAUUAGUUUAUCCUAUUUUGGUCAGGGGAUGUAGUAUAAUGUGGUCUUGUGAAGCCCUUUGAUAUUUUAACUGUGAUUUAAGGUCUCUACAUUUGACGUAAAUUGAUAAUAUUGCUAUAUAAAUAUUAUAAUAUAAUAGUAUCCGGUCAAUAGGUUGUGCAAAUGUGUAUUCACUCCACCUUUACACUAAACUACCAAACCCGGCUUUCAUGUGGUAUGUGUGUGUGUGUAAACUCAUGCAUUGUGUGUGUUGAUUGCACUCUGCGUAAAACUUUGGGGUUUUGCUUGCACUUUGUGUAGGUGGAGUUAAGGUUGUGGUUCUGGUUGGGUGGGUUGUGUGUCGGUGUGUGUGUAUGUGUGCUUGUAAUGAAGAGGGCAGUCAUGUGAUCCCUCUUCACCGUGGAGGACCCCACUGUUGAAAUCUACACAGACGUGCAAAGGCUGGAGACUGCAGCCAGAAAGCUUCCUAUCAAUGCUCCCUUAAUGAGCCUCCAGGCACCUGGCGCAGGUGGACUCAAAGAACUCCACGUUCUGGCUCCGGGCGAGUCUGGGGGCCACCGUAUUCGCCGUGCUGGGCUUCGCCAUGUACAGAGCACUGCUGAAGCAGCGAUGAUUCGCCGUCACCGGGCGCAUGCAUGAGACAUCAAAUCCCCCGUCCCCCUGCUCCUUCUCAUGCCAUAAUGGCCGCCUUAUUCCUGACAGACUAAAGACUACUCCCGCCAAACUACCGGGCCUCGCUGCAUCAUCAUCACCAACCCUGUGUACGUGUCUCAAGAAGAACAAGUGGAUGGCCAGAUUGAUGCAUUUUAUAAAUAUAUAUAUUUGAAAAUAAAGGGUGUUUUUUUUCUUUUUGUUGAGUGGAAUUGGAAAUGGUUUAUUUUAGAAAUCUUGAGAGAUUUGGGCGCAGUUUAGCUGCAGCCAAUCUAGGAUCAUCCUAUUCUAUUCCAGGCUAUACAUAAGGUAGUCAUGUUUUAAACUUUUAAUUACACAUGCACGCAUAUCAACAUAUACAUUUUAGGAUUGAGCACCUCCCCAGAGAAUUUAACCCAGAAGAAAAUGGCAAGGUUGAUGUGACUGUCAUCCAAACAAAGCAAUUUCUAUCUUCAGAAAAUUGUGUAAUGCACUUUUCUUGUUUAUAUUAAAUUAUUUUCUUUCCAUUUACUUUAUUUUUGGUUCCGUUUAUUUGGGGUCUGUAAAGAGUGUUUUGCUCAGUGCCACAUGGAAAAGAUGGAGGGAAUUACAUUUCGGUGUAUUUUAAGUAUUAUCAAUGAUUGUUUAUAUUGAGAAUCUCGUGCGCCUUUUCUGUUUCUAAAAUACAACUUUUUUCUGUUCUCAUUAACUUAACUAAAAUUAUUUUAUUCUACACAAUGAUCUAAUACCCCCCCCCCCCUCCCAUAAAGCUAUGGAACUGUUUAUUCGUAUGGACUUUUCCAGCACUUACAAUAUAGGUACAAUAAAUAUGUGAGUUUGAUCUGA